CCACUUUCAUAAAAACCAAAAGCUUUGAUUAGCCAAUAUACUGGCCACAUAUCUAGAGGUGAGAUUUUAGAAAUGAUUAAUUGUUCCUUUUUCAUGUAAACUAGAAAACUGAAUAAUCCUAUACAGACUUAUUGUUUCCAACUUCAUGAAAUAUAAACUUGUCUUUUAUGUUUGCAUAUCUUCUUUUAGUAUGAGAAGGAAUGUAAAUUGUCUGCAGAUGACUUCUGCUAUAGGUUAAAGAAAAAAUACCAUAGAGUAACAUUUACUUUAAAGAGCAAAAGACAACCAACUUUUGCUCAUUUCAAUACAAUAAACAGUUACAUUUCUCAGUUUAAAUAUUUGGAAAUGAGUGCAUAUAAAAAUUCAAUUUAUUACUAGAUAAUCAAUGGUUUUGGCCAGCUAAUAUCUGCAUCAACAUAUAGGACUGAGUAUAUGUCUUCUUAGUGUUCCAGAUAAGCCAUUGUGCAAAUUGUGUACGUGAUAACAUAAUGAAAACUAUUGACUCAAAUACACUUCACUAUUCUAGCAUAUAUAA
rnacentral:lncRNA from 1 species